CCGGGUGUAGCUCAGUCUGGUAGAGCGCUGCGUUUGGGACGCAGAAGUCGGGAGUUCAAGUCUCUCCACCCGGACCA
rnacentral:tRNA from 1 species